UGCAUCUUGAAUCUAAUCAUGAGGAAACAUUAAACAAACCCAAAUAAAGGGACAUUCAACAAAAUAACUGGUCUGGACUCUUUCAGAAUGUCAAGAUCAUGAAAGACUGAGAAAUGGAGGAACAGUCACAG